rnacentral:rRNA from 1 species
CCAAUAGCGUAUAUUAAAGUUGUUGCAGUUAAAAAGCUCGUAGUUGAAUUUCGGGGUCAGUAGGCUGGUCGUGCCUACGGUAUGUACUGGUCUCACUGAUUCUUCCCUCCUGAUGAACCGUAAUGCCAUUAAUUUGGUGUUGCAGGGAAUCAGGACUGUCACUUUGAAAAAAUUAGAGUGUUUAUAGCAGGCUAACGCUUGAAUACAUUAGUAUGGAAUAAUGAAAUAGGACGUUCGAUCCUAUUUUGUUGGUUUCUAGGAUCGACGUAAUGAUUAAUAGGGAUAGUUGGGGGCAUUAGUAUUCAAUUGUCAGAGGUGAAAUUCUUGGAUUUAUUGAAGACUAACUACUGCGAAAGCAUUUGCCAAGGAUGUUUUCAUUAAUCAAGAACGAAAGUUAGGGGAUCGAAGACGAUCAGAUACCGUCGUAGUCUUAACCAUAAACUAUGCCGACUAGGGAUCGGAUGAUGUUAAUUUUUUAAUGACUCGUUCGGCGCCUUACG